CAAAAACUGGGGGCCGUUUCGGACCACAACCGCAGCUGAUAGAGAGGGGGGGGGGAAAAAAUCACGUUUGAUCCUCUUACGAUUCAAUCCGGGCUGCAGCCGUCGGGAUGAAACGAACACGACCGGAUCGAUCCAGAGUUUUAGAUACUCGACCGGCGACAUGAUCAACGACCCGACAACAAAGCAAAAGGAAGAGUUUUUAGGACGCGGUUCGUCUCAUCUGUGCACCUGUAGCGACACGCUGCUGUGGUUCUCUUUCACGCUGCACUGAAUCAAAC